rnacentral:lncRNA from 1 species
GUAGGAAAUAGCUGGUUUUAAGGGAAUUUGUGUCCAUGACCUGCAGUACCAGCUACUUCUAACACUUGGUACAUCGGAACAGUAGUUCUGCCAGCUCUCUGCCCACGAGCACACAAAGCACAGCUUUGCAGGCCUCCGUCUUUCUUGGCUUCAGCACAUCUUGAAUUCUCUUCUCAGCUACGUUUCCAGGAAAAGACAAAGUCCUGGCUCUUCUCCAAGUUAUCCAUAGACUGACUGCUUGAGAGAAAGAUCAGCAGGCACUCCUCCUGCAGCUGGGACACUUUCUAAGAAGGGAGAAAUUGAACAAAACACAUCCCAAAGCUGGUGCUAUUGCCCUGCAGACAAGCAGGGAGGCACAUGGCCUUGGAAAAGCACGUGCAGAACUAAGUCAAGGUGAAGAUAACAGCAGAAUUUACAGGACGUAAGAUUCUUGGCCCUGUGAAGCA